AGUUCGUUUCUGGCUCAAGAUGAACGCUGGCGGCGUGCUUAACACAUGCAAGUCAAACGGGGUUUAGAAGGAAGCUUGCUUUCAUUUAAACCUAGUGGCGGACGGGUGAGUAACGCGUGAGGAACCUGCCCUUCAGUGGGGAACAACAACUAGAAAUGGUUGCUAAUACCGCAUAACGUCUGAGUGCCACAUGACAUUCCGACCAAAGGAUUUAUUCGCUGAAGGAUGGCCUCGCGUCCGAUUAGGCAGUUGGUGAGGUAACGGCCCACCAAACCUACGAUCGGUAGCCGAACUGAGAGGUUGAUCGGCCACACUGGUACUGAGACACGGACCAGACUCCAACAGGAGGCAGCACUAAGGGAUAUUGGUCAAUGGGCGGAAGCCUGAACCAGCCAUGCCGCGUGAGGGAUGAAGGCCCUACGGGUCGCAGACCUCUUUUGCCGGAAGGAUAACGUGCCCAACGCGUUGGGCAGUGAAGGCACCCGGAGAAUAAGCAUCGGCUAACUCCGUGCCAGCAGCCGCGGUAAUACGUAGGAUGCGAGCGUUAUCCGGAUUUAUUGGGUUUAAAGGGUGCGCAGGCGGUGUAGUAAGUCAGCGGUGAAAUCCGACGGCUCAACCCCUAGUCAGUGCUUUGGAUACUGUCUGGCUAGAAUACGGUAGGGGCCGGCGGAAUUUGGGGUGUAGCGGUGAAAUGCGUAGAUAUCACGAAGAACCCCGGUGGCGAAGGCAGCUUGCUGGACGGUCAUUGACGUUGAGGCUCGAAAGCGUGGGGAUCAAACAAGGUUAGAUACCCUGGUAGUCCACGCUGUAAACGAUGGAUAGUAGGUGUGGGGGGACUGACCCCUUCCGUGCCGCAGUUAACACAAUAAGCAUUCCGCCUGGGGAGUACGGCCGCAAGGCUAAAACUCAAAGAAAUUGACGGGGGCCCGCACAAGCAGAGGAGCAUGUGGCUUAAUUCGAUGCAACGCGAAGAACCUUACCUGGAUUUGACAUCGUGGGCAAUGCAUUAUGAAAGUAGUGCGGAGGUUAUCCCAUAGACAGGUGCUGCAUGGCUGUCGUCAGUUCGUGCCGUGAGGUGUUUGGUUAAGUCCACCAACGAACGCAACCCCUUUGCGAUGUUGCCAGCGGGUCAUGCCGGGAACUCGUCGCAUACUGCUGGUUUUCGCGAGAGGAAGGUGGGGAUGACGUCAAGUCAGUAUGGCCCCUACAUCCAGGGCUGCACACGUGCUACAAUGGCAUAUACAGAGGGACGGGAGGCCGCAAGGCGGAGCAAACCCCACAGAGUAUGCCUCAGUUCAGAUCGGGGUCUGCAACCCGACCCCGUGAAGUCGGAUUUGCUAGUAACGGCGUAUCAGCUACGACGCCGUGAAUGCGAUCCCGGCCCUUGCACACACCGCCCGUCAAG
rnacentral:rRNA from 1 species